rnacentral:rRNA from 2 species
UCAGAGGCGAUGAAGGGCGUGCUAAUCUGCGAUAAGCGCCGGUAAGGUGAUAUGAACCGUUAUAACCGGCGAUACCCGAAUGGGGAAACCCAGUGUGACUCGUCACACUAUCAUUAACUGAAUCCAUAGGUUAAUGAGGCGAACCGGGGGAACUGAAACAUCUAAGUACCCCGAGGAAAAGAAAUCAACCGAGAUUCCCCCAGUAGCGGCGAGCGAACGGGGAGGAGCCCAGAGCCUGAAUCAGCAUGUGUGUUAGUGGAAGCGUCUGGAAAGGCGCGCGAUACAGGGUGACAGCCCCGUACACAAAAGCGCAUGUGCUGUGAGCUCGAUGAGUAGGGCGGGACACGUGGUAUCCUGUCUGAAUAUGGGGGGACCAUCCUCCAAGGCUAAAUACUCCUGACUGACCGAUAGUGAACCAGUACCGUGAGGGAAAGGCGAAAAGAACCCCGGCGAGGGGAGUGAAAAAGAACCUGAAACCGU